UGAGGAAUAUUGGUCAAUGGUCGAGAGACUGAACCAGCCAUGCCGCGUGAAGGUCACGGCCCUAUGGGUCUUAAACUUCUUUUGCAAGGGAGCAAUAAGUCCCACGUGUGGGAUGAUGAGAGUACCUUGCGAAUAAGCAUCGGCUAACUCCGUGCCAGCAGCCGCGGUAAUACGGGGGAUGCAAGCGUUAUCCGGAUUUAUUGGGUUUAAAGGGUGCGUAGGCGGUCUGGUAAGUCAGCGGUGAAAUUCAGGGGCUCAACCUCUGCCGUGCCGUUGAUACUGCUGGACUGGAAUGCGGAUGCCGUGGGAGGAAUGUGUGGUGUAGCGGUGAAAUGCAUAGAUAUCACACAGAACACCGAUUGCGAAGGCAUCUCACGAAUCCGCUAUUGACGCUGAGGCACGAAAGCGUGGGGAUCAAACAGG
rnacentral:rRNA from 2 species